rnacentral:rRNA from 1 species
UACGUAGGGUGCGAGCGUUGUCCGGAAUUAUUGGGCGUAAAGAGCUCGUAGGCGGUUUGUUGCGUCGGCUGUGAAAUCCCGAGGCUCAACCUCGGGUCUGCAGUCGAUACGAGCAAACUAGAGUGUUGCAGGGGAGACUGGAAUUCCUGGUGUAGCGGUGAAAUGCGCAGAUAUCAGGAGGAACACCGGUGGCGAAGGCGGCUCGUGGGCCGAUACUGACGCUGAGGAGCGAAAGCGUGGGGAGCGAACAGG